CAUACAAACCUUGGGAAAUCGGGCCAUUAGGUUACUUGAACCCAGAAGAAAAUACGAUAAAAUACCAAUGUUAUGCUUAGGAAAGAAAGGAAAAGAAAAAAAGAAGGUGACAAGAGUUGAGGAGAAGCAGACCUGGCCAGAGUGGGGGAGCAUCAGCAUACCAUCCAGGAAUUGCAGACGAGAAACAAACAUCCCCAUUGCUGCUGUUCUCAGUUUCAGGAGGCAAUAAAGAAACUGAUGAGACAAUGGUGUUUCCAUGCUCAGCCAUAACCCCAUCUCCCACUGUCUCCUUUCUAUGCAAAUUUGCAUGGAACUCAGGUGAACCAUUCCCAUUAGCCUUGAAUUCAGCAGAGGCAACACCAUUACCAUUUGCCUUAGCCAUGAAUACAGCGGAGACAACACCACUAACUUUGGCCAUGACCUUUCUCUCUCUCUCUCUCUCUCUUUCUUUCUCAACCUUUACUCCUCUCAGUAGGAAAAUCUCGGCUGAAACGUGCCCUGAAAAGAUCAGGAUUGAUUUGGGCAAUAAAUAGGCUAUCUUUUUGGACACGAGUAAUAGAGGAAGUGGACCUUCAAGCUCAGUGUUGUCUGCCAAGUUGCAAGCUUAAAGGGUCAAACUUCUUUUACCUCAACACAAUUUCAAGUUUGAUUUCAAUUUUAGUAUAGUAAUUUGAGUAUGUUAAAGCUGUACUUUGAGUAAUAUCUGGUUGGUGGAUUCUGUCUUCUCAAGAGAUAAGAUUACCCUCAUCUCAUGUAUGAUUAAACCUACCUCAUGUAUGAUUAAACCUACCAAUUCACCUCUUAAUAAAUUCUAUGAAGUGUGGAUGAUAUCUUCUUAUAUAAAAAGGGUUGUUAUAUUUAGAUUUAUUUUUAUUUAAAUACAUGGAUGAAAAAAAAAGUAAGUUAUAGUCUAUUUGACCGUAUGAUUUAAAAAUAUAUUCUUUUUAAAUAGAAAAUUGUUUUUAAAAACUUUUAACAUUAUUUGACCAUUGUUUUUUAAAAACAAUUUUUAAGAAAUAAGUAGAAGUUGUUUUCACCGGUUUUUAAAAACAAAAGGAAAACAUAAGUCAUUUACCAUGUUUUCUUAAACUUAUUUUUAAAAAUCAUUUUUAAGUUAAAAAAAUAAAAAAAAAUAGUAUCUAAAAAUAAAUUUCACAAAACAUGGCAAAACGGGCCCCUAAUUAUUUUAAUUUUUUUAAUCAUCACUUUCCUCUUAUAUAUAUCUUGUACUUUUACCAUUAUAUUAUUUUAAAAAUAAAUUAUUUUUACCUUUUCCUUCCCUUCCACACAUGAUUCAUGUUUUUUCUACUAUUAUUACUCAAAAACUUAACAAUUCGAUUUCAAUGUUAUUCAUCAUAUUGUUUGUCACAUUCAAAAAAGGCAGAGGUAAAAAAAAAAAAAAAAAAAAAAUUGAAGAAGAAAACCUAAAGUUUAUACUCGACUCUCUCUUGAAUACGACAUUCUUGAAUCACUUGAAAAUUUUAAAGAAAAAUUAAAAGUAUCAAUAUAAUGUUGAUCGAACCCCAAAAUUUAGUUUAAAGGUUGAUCGAAAACCUUUUUCCUUUCAUUCAAGACUACUUAUGCCUUCAAAUCAACGACCAAAAAUUGGCCCUCCCAAUUCUCAAAAAGUUCAUUCAUAGCUUUCACAUUAAGAUAAAAUAAAAGAACAAGGUGACAAAAACAGAAAGGUAAAAAAGGAAAAAGAAAACUUCAAAGUUAUGACCAAAUAUAGUAUUCUUCAAUCACAAAGAAGAUUUAAUAGAAGCUUCCAUAAAAAUAAUUUCACAUAGCUUGGGUCAUAAAUUUGCAAUAGUAUUUGAAUCACAAGCUUGAGUAAGAGGGGCUUGUUGUAUUUCAAUUGAGAGCAAGUAUUCAGAUGGACCACUUGUGCCUCCAAAUCAAGGACCAAAAAAUUUCAAAUUUUCCUACCAAAGAAGCCAUCCAUUGAACUUGCUUGGCUUUAAAUGCACUAAACCACAAGAGGGCCAAGUGCAAAGAAACAUGGUAGGUGGAAUUUUGCAUUCAUUUUUAUCUAGGGUUUCAGUGAGACAUAUUAUUAUUAUUGUUAUUAUAGUAAGAACCCGUGACUCAAAUCAAAUUAUUUGUGACCUUUUUCUUCAAUGGUGAGAUAAUUUAAUUGGUCCAGAGAAUCAGGAUGCCCAAUGCCCAUUCCCACUCAAACAAUGUGAUUUGUGUUAGAGACGAGUUUUCAACUGUCUAAUAAUCACUGAGUGGUGUCGCCAAGUGUGAAAAGCCACUGAAUUUUCUUCAAAUUUGGUUCAUUUCAAGUUUCAAGUAAUGGGGUUCAUCAUUUGAUUUGGAUUUCCAACUUGUCUUAUUAUAACUUUCCAAAUGGCAUCUCCAAAAGAUGAGAUUUCAGGUGGUCUUAAAGAUCAAACCAAGUGUUUUUUUCACACACAAAGGGGUUUGUAAAAGGUCCAUUACUGCGCAUUUGUUUCUUCUCAAUGCCAGUGUGAACGCGUACAUUUGAAUAGAAAUAAAUUAAAAGAUUAAGCUAAGUCAUUUGGAUUUCAAACCUUACAUUAAAACAUACUAUUUUAACCUUUUACAUCUGGUCCGCACACGAUAUUAUGAAAUUACGAUCAUAUUUAAAAUGUUAGAAUCUAAAAGAGGAAAUCUCAUUUUCGGUAAGAAUUUAAUUUAUCUUUUCUACAUCAUCAUUUAUACUUUUAUUUUCGUUCUCUCAAUUUUUUUUAUAUUUGAAUCAUAAUGAAUUAAAAUAUUAAACUAUGAAUAGGGUCAUUUGGAUUUUUAACUUUACAUUAGAGCAUACAACUUUAACCUUUUACAUUUGGUCCGUACACGAUAUCAUAAAAUUACGAUCAUAUUUAAAAUGUUAGAAUCAAAAAGGGGAAAUCUCAUUCUCGAUAAGUAUUUCAUUUCUCUUUUCUACAUCAUCAUUUAUACUUUCAUUCUUGUUCUCUCAAUUUUUCUUAUAUUUGAAUCAUAAUAAAUUAAAAUAUGAAAAUAUGAAUAAGGUCAUUUGGAUUUCAAACUUUAUAUAAAAGCAAACAACUUUAACAUGUUACAUUUGGUUCACACACGGUAUCAUAAAAUUACGAUCAUAUUUAAAAUGUUAGAAUCAGAAACGGGAAAUCUCAUUUUUGGUAAGAGUUUCAUUUAUCUUUUCUACAUCAUCAUUUAUACUUUCAUUCACAUUCUAUUUAUAUUUUUAUUCCUAUAUACCAAAUAAUCUUUAAAAAGACUUAAAUUUAAUUGAUGUUGAUCAAAUAGAAAAAUGGAUUUCUAUAUUAAUACUAUUAACAAAAUUUUACUUUUUCACAAAUUUGAUUGCAAUUUUACAUGUUAAUUAAAAUGGAAAUAGAAGUAAGACAUCUAAAUAUUUAGUUUUCAUGAUUUAUUGUGUUUGAAUAAUUUAUUAGAAAUGAUAAUAUGAAUAAAAAAUAUUCAUUAUCAAGGGAGUUAAGAUUAGCUUGUUGUAAUUUUAUCAUAAAGGUUUAAGCUUAUUUUAUUUUAUUUUUAUAAUUGUCGUGACUCUUUUAAAGCUAUGUAUCGUAUUUAUCUGAAAAAUCAUAGUCGAGUAAGGUAAAAUUGGGGUGAAUGAGUGUAAUUAAAAAUUAUAAAAUAAGGAUUGAGAAUUAAUAACCCAAUUUAAAUAGGAAGUAGAGUUUUAAACCUAAUUAAAUUUGCAAGAUAUUAAAGAUUAACAGAAUUCAAUGUAAGUCACUUUAUAAUUUUUUUUAAAAAAUAUAAGAUAAUUGAAACAAAAUUGUCAACAUACAAUAUCGACUCAUUAUCUUAAUACUAUCAAUUCUAAGUCAUUUGAAAAUGUAAAUCAAAUGUUUUUGGAUUCAAAAAAUUAAUUCAUUUGAGAACAUCAAUUUGCUAAUCCUAUUUAUUCCUUAAUUCAAUAAAACUUAUUUGAAAUGUCUUCUUAUUUAUAUUUUUAUUAAAAGAAAAUUUUGGUGGCAAAAAUAUUUAUUGAAUAUCUUAUUGCUUUAGAACCAUCAUUUCACCCUUUUGAAAAUAUUAUUUUGAUCAAUUAAAAUAUAUAUAUAAAAUUUAAGUUUCAUUUUAUACUUAAUAAAUAUUUAUCUAACAAUAAACUCAUUUCAUCAUUCAUAUAUUGAUAUUUUAUGAUUUAAUUAUAAUAAAUACUAAUAGAAAAUAAAUAAAAAGAAAAAUAAAAUUUAGGGAUAGAAUAGUUUAGGAUUAACAUAUAGAAUAAUAAUUGAUUUUCUUAAAUACAUUUUUAGAUAAAAUACUUUUACUUUACAGGGUUUGAUCAAAACAUUAUCAAAUAUAUCUUGCGAUUGUAAUUAAGAUCCUAAUUGAAAAUUUUAAAUAAAUAAAAAAGUGGAACUUACAUAAUCAAAUGUUACUUUCAUAUUUUAAUGAUUCAUAUUAUAAUAUUAAAAAAUAUUUUUUACAAAUAAAUUUUAAAAGUUUGGUUAUGAUAUCGAAUGUAAUUUUUUAAUAUUUAUUGAAAAGAUUGAAUACUUUUUUUUUUAUAUCAUUUUUUUAUCAUUAUAUCUUUUUUUAUUUGUUUGUAUUCUUAUUGAAUAGUUUAAAUCUUAUUACACAUUCAAUAGAUAGAAAAUAUUAUUUGAUUAUUACCAUUAUAGUACCUUAGCAUUUUUGAGCCGACAUCAACUCGCUUUAGUAUCUUUUUAUAUCUUGAUUUGAUUUAUUGGUAAUUAAUGUCAUUAAGGACUUAAUUUUUUUUACCUUAAUUUAUCCGAUACCUGAAUCAAAGAGUUGGUAGAUAUACGAAACCCUAGCAUUCUCCGAUGGCAACGGUUAUUAGAGCCAAUGAUUUCUGGGUCAUUUAACUGACAACGACAGUGACAAUGACCAAAUGUCAGAGACCACAAAGUCACGUGAACCCUUUGCAUUCAUGUCUGAAUCCUACGUUACCAAACACAACUGCCACUCAUGUACACACAACUGCCAAACAUUAAAGUUUUCAAUUUUUAUAAAAUACUAAAUAUAUAAUAAUAAAAUAAUUCUUUUACCUCAUUAAAUAAAAAAAGAAAAAAAAGAAAAAAAGACAUUCGAGUCGUGGGUGUUAUUUCCCAUUUUGGAAAUUUAAAAUUUAAAAUUAAAAAAUUAAAAAUAAAAUUGGGGUGAUCGAUGUUUAGGGCACCUAAGUGGUGGAAGGUUGUACAGAGCAAAGAAGCAAGGAAAUAAAACGUGCCCAAUAUCAUUCACCUACCAAGCGCGAAGGGCUUUUAAUUUUCUCCUCCGACAUGAAAGCACUUUACCUUUUAAGACUUUUUCAGGAGAGGAAUCUUACCUUUAUUUUGCGAACAUGCGGUAUCACAAAUUUAACUUAUACAAACUAUGGGCUAUCUCAUCUUCUGACAACCAUGUGGAAUGUAAAAAUUAUUGUACUCCAUGAAAAGCUCCACCUUUUGCGGCUCUUAAAAAAAAAUUCUUGUAAGGGUUUGAUUGUGAUAUCAAAUUGAUAUACUUUGAGACACAAUCAAUCAACAAAGUCUUACAAUUUUUUUUUUGAGAGGUUAGUAAUACAUUGAAUUUUCACCUAGAAUGUUUUUGGAACAUUUUUUGGUUUUUAUUUGGAUCCACGUGUUGCCUAUUGAUCGCUUGGGAUUAUAAUUGUUUAUAAUAAAAUAAUAUUAUUUGAAAUUUUGUUAUUGCGUCAUCAAGAACACAGUCAUAUAACUGUGUUAUUGUGAAAAUGACUAUAUGGUUGUAUUAUCAAGAACAUAACCAUUAUAAGAUUAACUUGUGUUGGUAUUGUAAGACAGUUACCCUUUGGCUAAUUAUGGUGCCCACUUCGGUAUUAGAUCACAAAAACAAUUGAUCAAAUGUUAUAUAUAUUGAUAAUUGAUUAAUUAGGUUUUACUGUGUUUGCAUUUAAGUAUUUUUGUUUUUUUUUUUGUAUUAUAUCUCCAUUCUAUUUUUUAUUUUUUAUUUUUAUCUUGAUCUUAUUAUUUGUAUCAAAUCAUUUUUUUGGUACAUUGAUUUUAUUAUUUGUAUUUUUAUUUAUUAACCAAGAUUUGAUUAUGCAUGUUCGAUAACUAGAAUUACAUGUUAAGUAGAUGCCAUUUCGAUACUCUAAAAUUUAGAGAAAAUUUAAAAAAUUUCUAGAUAAUUUGAUUGAAUUAAUAAAAUGGGAGAUCUGAUUGAUGAGAGUGAAUAAAAUUGAAUGAAAUAAUCAUGUAAAGAAGAAAAAGAAGUUUUCAUUGGCAUAAUAGAGUAAAAAUAGGCUUCAAAUACAUUGAAUAGCAAAAGUCGGAUGAAAAUAAUACACAUACAGUAAAAAAAAAAAAAAAAAAGGGAAAAUAAAAGUAAAAAAAUAAAGAUUGAAAAUAAUAAUAAUAAAAAUAAAAAGAUGGCCCAUGAGACCAUUUAUGGCAAAUGAAGUAGGUUAAGAAAGUACCCAAAAUACAAAAGAGGAUAGUAGAAUUGUUUUUUUACCACCGGUAAAUGUUUCUUUUAUAUCCGACAACCCACAUUUAAUACUGUUUUUUUUUUAAUUUAAUUUCAAAUAGAACUUAAUUUUGGCAUAAUUCUAAAUAUAACUUAAAAUUAAAUAGUACUUAAUAGUGUUAAUUAAUAUGUUACUGAUAAUAUUAAUAUUUAUUUAUUUUAUUCAAUAAAAAAUUAAGAAAGUAAUAAGUCAACAAAAAAAUUAAAAAAACACGAACACCAUCUUAUAUUUAUUUCAUUUUUCAACUUAUUUUUUCCUUGUGAAUUAUAAUUUUUAAUCUAUUUCCUUUAUGGAUGAGGAGUAGUGUGAAUUUAAUUCACCAUCUUUUUCUAGGAAAUUGAAUUUUAUAGAUGAGUGGGCCCAUGGUCCAAAAGUCCACAAGAAUUUAAAGUUUCAUAUUUUAAACUUUUGAAAUGUGUAACACAUAAAAUGGUCCUAUUUUGGAUAGAGCCUCUAUCCAUGCCCACCACCUUUUGAUCCACGCAUUCCAUGCUCAAACCCUUCUGUUGAACGAACAAUUAAUAUAAAAUAUAAGGAUAUUAUUAUUGUCUAAAUAAAGAAAAAUAAUAAAAGAUAAAGUCGAAAUUAGUGGAGUGAGGAACAUUAUUUAUAUAUAUAUAUAUAUAUAUAUAUAUAUAUAUAUGGAAUAAAAGCACAAUCACAAGAUUCACUACUUUGAACAAAUUUAUAACAUGGCUUGAAAGCAAGAACUGUUCACAUCAUAAAGUUUAGAGAAGCCCGAACUAUCGUUUUUCUCCCCACUUGGCCUCUUUGAGGCCCGGGCAUAAGCACUCUACCUGGCAUCCUUCCCCUUCUUUGCCAAGAGUGACGAAUUCAGUCUAGGCUGAGCUCAAUCUUCCCUGCCUGCAAGAAAAGUAGUGGUUGUGCAAGAGAGUGCCUCGAUGCGCCGCCAGCUAAUCGUAGACCUCCAUAGAACUGAUCCGUUCAUUACCCACUCAAUAUUUAGUGACUUGAUAAAAGAAUUGAAUUUAAUGGUGUGCUUAAAGUAAAAAAUAAUUUUAAGUGAUAGAUAAAAAUAAUUAACUUAUUCUUAAGUUCACAUCUUUAUUUUAUCUUUUUAUCUUCAUUUAUCUUAAUAAUCUUCACUAUCUUCUUUACUAUUCUAUGGCCUACAUUGUUAUUGAACCUUCUUUGCCCUAAUUAUAAUUUAUGAGGAUAUAAAUAUGUUUUUGAUAAUUUAGAAUAAUUUUAAAAUUAAUUUUAUCUGACAAUCUUAAUACUUAAAGUAAGAAUAAAGUAAUAAGUUUUAAGUUAACAACUUAAGUAUAAUUUAAACCUUAUACUAAAGGUGUCAGUAGCUUCUUCUUCUUAUUAUUUUUUAUAAUCAAGUCCAAAUAAUUUAUUUAUUUUUAAUUGAGAAUUGAACAAAUAAGCUCGUUUCUCAUCAUAAUAAUAUUAAUAUAAACUAUAGAAAUUUGGGAAUUACAUUCACAAUCCUAAUAUCUAGAGGUCAUAUUAACCAUGUUAGUAGAUUUUUAAAAAUUUUAUUAUGUGAUUAACUAUGUUAUCAACUGUUAUAUCAUGUUGAUUGUUUAAAUAAGCUUGUUUUAUAUGGAUUAUUUAGAACUCAUUUAGCAGUGAUUAUAAUUAAAGAAUUUUUUAAUUUAUUGUGCUUUUGUUAGCAGUAUUUUUUUUAUAUACAAAAAAUGUAUUUAUUAAUUAAAAGCAUUUUAAAAGAGAAUUCCUUGGUAUUUAAUUCAAAAAUUAUAAUAAUUAUAUUAUUAACUCAUUUAAUUAUACCAUGACAUUUAUGCAAAUAAACUUAAUUCUCGAAACUUCAUUGUAUGAUAGCAAAUUUUUAGAAGGGUUAAUCAAUAAUUAAUUGAGUUUGAUGAUUGAGAGUUUUGAUUUGACAUUAACUUGUUAGCACCUUGGAGUGGGCCUCAUGGAGGAUAUCUUUUUUUAAGGACAAGAAGAUUAAUGAACUGGAUUUCAUCAUAAAAAUUGUGUGACCCAAUAAUAUUUUUAGAAGCCUUUGGGCCAGACCCACUAGGUGGAUAGAGUAGGCCCAUUGUCCAAAACCCUCACCACUACCCCAACAAAGAAAAAGAGUAAAAAGUAAAUAAAAGAAAGAUAAUUCAAGGCAGCUGGAUUGGUUAUAAAUCUUAAUCAUAUAUAUAAAUUUAUAAUGCAGUAAUUUUUUAUAUAAAUAUUUUUGAAAAUUUUAAGAUAAAUUAUAGAUUGCUUCUUAAAAAUUAUAUAAAUUUAUUCAUGAUAAGAUCAUUUAGGUCAUGUUUGGUUGUACUUUCAUUUCAAAAACUUUUAACUUAAGGGCGUAUUUGGUCAUGCUUUUUGAAAUUUCAAAAACUAUUUUUUAUUUUUGAAUUUAAAAAUAAUUUUUUAAAAACAAGUUUUAGAAAACAUGGUUAGAUGAACUCAUAUUUUUCUUUUGUUUUAAAAAAUCGAUAAAAACAACUCUUACUUGUUCUCUAAAAAUUAUUCUUUAUUUUAUUUUGUUUUUAAAAAAUGACAACCAAACAAUAUUAGAAAUUUUUAAAAACAUUUUUUUGUUUUUCAAAACAAAAAACUAUUUUUAGAUUACACAGUCAAAUAGAUUCUAAUUUUGAAAAUAACAUUAGCUAACUUGUAUUUUUUUUAUUACAAUUUGAUGGGAAAUAUUUAGAAUAAUAGAGGUCAAGGAUUUUUUUUUUCAUUUUAUGCAAAAAAUAAUAUUUUACAAAGAGGAAUAAACAUAAAAUAAAAUAUAUAAAAAUCAUUUUAAAAUAUAUAUAUUUCCAAACUUUCAUUUUCACAAAGGGGAUAAAAGCAGAGGAAAAUUUCCAUCCAUAUAGAAGAGCUAAAACUAUUUGUAUAGAAAUUUUUGGGUUAAAAUUUUCAAUUGAAUUACUAAAACAACCUUGACUGGUAAGCCCAAAUGACCAAAACACCCACACUUCUCACUCCACAUUGGCCAACUACCAUUUCCAUUUCCCUUGGCCCCAAAGCCCCCAACCUUCUUCUUGGUUUCCCGUGAGUUUCUCAAAACCACCACCCUCCAACGCUCUCUCUCCUAUGGUUUUGCUAUCUUUCCACCACAACCAUCCUCCACCCUCCUUACCGCCAUGGACGAAUUGACUACAAAAGGAAGGAAUUGACUACAAAGAGACUUUUUUUCCUGUAUCUAAGAAAGAUUCUCUUUGAAUCAUUAUGACAUUAGUUGCACAUUUUGACUUAGAGUUGCAACAAAUGGAUGUGAAAACGACAUUUCUCAAUGGAAAUUUAGAGAAGAGGUUUACAUGAAGCAACCAGAAGGAUUUUCCUCUAGUGGUGGUGAGCAUUUGGUAUGCAAGCUUAAGAAAUCCAUAUAUGGAUUGAAACAAGCAUCACGUUAGUGGUAUUUGAAGUUUCAUGAUGUUAUCUCUUCAUUUGGUUUCGUGGAGAACAUUAUGGAUCAAUGUAUAUAUCAGAAAGUCAGUGGGAGUAAGAUUUGUUUCCUUGUUUUGUAUGUGGAUGACAUUUUACUUGCAACCAAUGAUAAGGCUUUGCUACAUGAGGUGAAACAGUUUCUAUCUAAAAACUUUGACAUGAAGGAUAUGGGUGAUGCAACUUAUGUCAUUGACAUUGAGAUACAUAGAGACAGAUUUUGAGGCCUUUUAGGCUUAUCUCAAGAGACCUAUAUCAACAAGGUUUUAGAGAGAUUUCAGAUGAAAGAUUGUUCACCAAGUAUAACUCCCAUUGUGAAGGGCGAUAGGUUCAAUUUGGACCAGUGCCCGAAGAAUGAUAUUGAGUAGGAACAAAUGAAGAACAUUCCUUAUGCUUUUGUUGUUGGAAGCUUGAUGUAUGCUCAAGUCUGCACAAGACCUGACAUUGCAUUUGCUGUUGGGAUGUUAGGAAGAUAUCAGAGUAAUCCAGGUAUAGACCAUUGGAAAGCUGCAAAGAAGGUGAUGAAGUACCUUCAGGGGACCAAAGACUACAUGCUUAUGUAUAGACGAAUUAAUAAUUUGGAAGUGACUGACUACUCUAAUUCAAACUACGCUGGCUGCAUUGAUUCGCAAAAAUCAACUUUAGGAUAUGUCUUUAUGCUAGCUGGUGGAACUGUUUCUUGGAGAAGCUCAAAGCAAACUUUGACUGCAACUUCCACUAUGGAGGCUGAGUUCGUGUCUUAUUUUGAGGCUACCUCGCAUGGUGUAUGGUUAAAGAGUUUCAUUUCUAGGUUUCGAAUUAUGGAUUCAAUUUCUAUGCCAUUGAAGACAUAUUGUGACAAUUCAGCUGUAGUUUUUAUGGCUAAGAACAACAAAAGUAGCAGUCAAAACAAGCACAUCGACAUCAAGUAUUUAGCCAUAAGAGUACGUGUUAAAGAGAAAAUUGUGGUUAUUGAACACGUUAGCACUGAAUUGAUGAUUGUUGAUCCUUUGACUAAAGGCAUGCCACCGUUGAAAUUUAAGAAUUAUGUAGAUAGAUUGGGACUUGGUUCCUUUGUGUGAUUUUCAUUGUAAGAGCGAAUGUUAUUUUCAGUGAAACUCUAUUUGUGAUGUUUUUCUCACAUUUGAUUUUCUUUGUGUACACUUUUAUUCAUUUAUUGAGAAAUAUCAUUAAUGUUUGGACCUAGAAUAAACAUAGGGUUUAUUCAUUAAGCUAUAUGGGCUAGUGUUUAAGAGACAUGAUGCAUUGUGAUACAUGGAAGAUAAUACUUGAUUUUAGAGCACCUAUCGUCAUGAUUCAUGUGUUUUGUUUCUUGCUAUGAUGAAUGAUGGAAUAUAUGGGCCAAGUGGGAGAAUGUUUGGAUUUUAUUUCUCCUGGAUCUUCGGUAAUAAACCGAAUACGUGAUUCGGAAUGUGGUACACAUCAUUCCAUCAAUUUAGGAACGAGGAUUCAUACUCGGAACCACGUUCGCAUCACUACCCCAUGUUUUGUGCACGCUCCAAGCAGACUCGGUGAUGGAGAGUCUUUAAAAAGAGGCAGAACACUAUCAGUUUUUUAAAAUACCAUCUAAGUGGAAGUUGAGAAAGGUUUAGAAGCACUUGAAACUUGAAAAUUGAAAAACAUGUUUUAACAUGUAGAAUGACAUUGGCGGGGAGGUGCGUUUUUGAUAUGUGAUUUAAUUGCUAUUUAAUGAUUGUUAUAGCAUGUUUAGAUUAUUUUUGUCCAUCACAACAACAUCCGCCUCUUCUUCUUCCGCCAAAAGUCUUGGUGGACCCAAGUCCUCGACCCCGGCGGCCACCUCGUCACUCAAUGGAACCACAUUUUCCUCAUCUCCUGAUUGCUAGCUCUCUUUUUGGACCCUCUCUAUUUCUAUCUUCCUGUGAUCGCCGGUCUGGCCUGUAUGCGGAUCAACCUGGGUUUGGGGAUUGUCGUCACGUUUUUUCGGACGACGGCUGAUAUGUUAUACUUGAUCCAAAUGAUCACGAAGUUUCGGGUGGCUUUUGUGGUUCCCAGCUCUCUAGUUUUUGGGAGGGGUGAGCUUGUGAUGGAUAUGCAGCAGAUUGCGCUGCGGUACUUGGAAGUCUUGACUUUAUAAUUGAUUUCGCUGCAACACUGCCUCUCCCCCCAGGUGAGCCUUGUUUCUGUGACAUACCAAACGAGAAUUUUCAUGAUUCAGUUCUUUGUUAUAUUUUCUGGAAAUUGGAACCAGAUUAAGGUUGUACUGUUUUUUUUUUCUUUUCGAGUAGACUUCAUGAUGAUUGAUAAAUAAUCAAAUUUCUAAGAACUAUUCAUGAGUCUUAUAAAAAUUCUAAGAACUAUAAAAAAAAAUUCAAGCGUCGAUCGUUAUAAUCGAAAUUAUACUUUGCUUUAGUAUUUCUCAAAUUAUUUCCAAAAUCCUUGUUGAAUUCUGUGUUGAAUUCUGUGUUGUGAUUGAUAAAUAAAAUUUUUAAGUUACAUCCAUCCUCACUCCCACUCCCUCUUCCAACCCUACUUUUUGUUUCUAAAACUCAACCUUUGAUCUUACUCAAUCCUGGAGUUUUUGUGACUUAUAUUUGUUAUUUUGCACUCUUGUAAAAAAUUUUGAUCAAUAAUUUUUCUAAGUAAAUACUUGAUUGGAAAUAUUGGUCAUUUCCUUUCAGAUCCAUUGCUAAUUUAAUUUGCAUAUAAUAUUUUUCAAUGAAACAUUGUUGAGAUGCCUUUUCUUCUUAUGCUCAGAUUAUUUCCAAUCAUUUUGUGACAUGCAGCUCAUAUGAACAUAGUGUGGUCACCAGUACUUUCACUAGUGAAAUGCAUUGGGGGGCUAGUAACAUUUUUUUAUUUUUCUCUCAAGGAUAGUACUGUUAAAUUAUUUUGUCCCGAAGUUCUUGAGAGCAGAGCCUCUUGUUCCAUAUCAACUUUGAGGGGAGCAAUAAAGGAACAAGAAAGUUUUUUGUUAUCGUUUAUAUCAUAUUUAUGUACUUAUGUUAGCUUCAGAAUGGCCUUCAUGCUAGACUAUGUAUUUUACUUUGCAACAUAGUUCGAUUUAUGAGAAUCAAAUCAAUUAGCUUAAUUUGCAAGGAAUAUUUUAAUAUUUUUGUAAAUUGCUUAAAAUGAACCCUCUGAGCUUUGUAAGCUUGCAUUCUACUAGCUGUAAUCAGAAUAUUUCAAAAAAAAAUUCUUGUUCGAUGUACCAUGACAUGUGUAUGACACAUUGGUGCAACUCUAGAAUUUGAGCAUGGUUUGUUGAGAUUGAGAAACAAUUUUCUUGUCUAACACUGUCAAGGAAGAAAAUAUCGUGUAUCGAAGGGUUUCGACACGAUAUUUCAUGGAGAAAUAUUGGUCCGGUGAUUUUUCGGGAUUAAUAUCGAGAAAUCGGCGAUUUCUUGCAAUAUAUCGGUGAUUUUGGUGAUAAAUCAAAGAUUUUUCCUAAUAUAUCGCAUAGUCAACGCGGGUCAACGAAAGUCAAACCCGCUACAGUGCUGUCAACGCGCUACAGUGAUGCUACAGUGUCCUCCCAUUUGUUGCUGCCGAGAGGAUUUGAACCUACCACCUGGGCUAACUUGCCCUUUGAUAUAUAACAUGCAAUAAAUUUAUAUAUACUUAAACUCAUUAUAUAAAGAAAAUAUAAGAAAAUUUUAAAGAGCAAAUUAAUUAUAAUUAUUUUAUAAUUAAAUGCAAAGUAUUUUAAUUAAUUACCAAAAAUAUAAAAAUUAUAUAAUUUUCUUCAUAGUGUUUUUAAUAUCAUUAAUAAUUAAUUAAAUAUUAAAAAAUUAUAUAUAUAUAUCAUAAUUUAUUUUAUAUUGUUUAAUACAAUUGAAUUAAAUGGAUCAUAUUUUAAUACUAAUAUAUAUUUUAAAAUUAAACAUAUUAUAAUCAAAUAUCAUAAUAUUAGGUGUAAUUUAAUAAUAAAUGUACACUUAUAAAAUUCAUAUUUUUAUCGAUGCAUACGAUAUUAUUAUCAAAUAUGAUAAAUCAUGUUAUACAUAUAUCAAAAUUUUCAAUAAAAUAACUUUAAAAUGUCUAUUAUACUUCUAAUUAUAUUAUUAUGAGGGUUUUCUUAUAUUUUCAUGAGUUUUUAGCAAUUUUAAGCUUACCGAUAUUUUUUUCCAAAAUAUCCGUCGAUAUAUCUCCGAUAUAUCCGAUAUAUCCGUAAAAUCGAAGUACCGAUAUAUCUGUGAUUACCGAUAUUUUCAUCCUUGAACAUUGUGACUCUGAUAACGAUUUUUGUAUCAUUAUUAUUAGUACUACUAUUACUUCUCUUAUUAUUAUUAAUAAUAUCUAAUUUUUAUUUAUGUAUAUUAUUUUGACAAAAUUUUGUUUGAAGAUCUAUCUACAAAACAUGGGAAUUAGACUUGAAGAAUGGAGAGUAAGAAGAGAUAUAGAGGAGUGGAUGAGGCAUCGUCAACUGCCUCUAGAUUUGCAAGAGCACGUUCGCUGUUUUGUUCAAUAUAAAUGGAUUGCCACAAGAAGAGUAGAUGAAGAAGCCAUUUUGUGCGCCUUACCUUUGGACAUUUGACGUGAAAUUCAAAGGCAUCUUUGUCUGGCCCUUGUCCAUUGUGUAAGUCUUUUUUAUGGCAUUUCAUUCUGUGAUCAACAUCUUUCCAGGACUCACAUGAUUUAGACCAAGGAAACAUGGUAAUUAGUCAUGCCGUUUAUUUAGUUUAACUAAAAGAUAGUCUAGAUGUCAGACAAACAUAAGCAAACUUUCUAAGUAUUAAACCAUAAAGAAUGAAAAACUUUCUAUAAGUUAUUUCUAUUAUUGAAAUCUCAGAGAAGCAUCUAAUAAUGCAAUUUUGAAACCAUUUCAAGGGAAAAUGAAUUCUUUUCAACAACAUAUUUGUUGAUGCGAGGUCAACUGGAGUCAAAUCCUUCCUUCGCUAUGCUACUGAGAGCUUCUGCCCAGCAAAUGGAAUCUGGGCAAGCUUCCUCCCUGCACAAAGGAUGUCUGGACAGGUUGUCCGGGCACGUCCCUCCGAAGCUUAAGUCAGGCUUAAUUGGAUUGGAAUCCUUUUGAGAGGGGAGUAAAAAUGGGAAAGCCCUUGUGUCGUGUACUUGGGUUCUGCUUUAGGAGGGUUUUUAUAGUGCUUAGGAGGGAGUCACUAUUGUGCUGAGUUGACACUUUGACUUUUGCUGUCAUGAUGGCAGUCUAGUAAAUGACAAGGCAAUCAUCACAGUUUGAGCGGUUGGCAGGCGUCGUCAUAGGUGUGUGAUGAUGCCACUGCUCGUCAUUUCAACCUGCUGGAGGUAUGGGGCAAUGUGUGACAGUCCACUGACAUGGACGUAAGGAUUGGAGAAGAUCCCAUCAGUCAUUCCUAUGUCAGGUGGAAAUAAUUAUAUGUAGCAAAGAGGGUUCAGAGGCUGGGUGAAGGAUGUUGCCCGUUCAGGUGAGGGUGCAUACAUGGUCCAAAUAGGAAGGUCCGGGACUUACGGCCUCUAUCCGGGCAGAAUUGAGGAUAUGCGACACGUGGUCUGACACGUGGAGGAGAGCCCCCACAAUAUUUGUAUGCAAUUUUGUAUUGCAUUAUGUGAAGAGUUCAAUGUCCAGGAAUUUUUUUCCCUUUUUUUUGUCAGGUGGGGGGUGGCAGAAUAAUUCCCUUGUCCAAGUUACAACUCAGACAAAGGACUUUCACUUUAAAUGUAGGAUAUCUGCUAAACAUUUCUAAUAUAGUACUCUACUUAGUAAAUGAAGAUGGCUUCGCAAUGGAAGAGAGGACAUUUUGAUGAUUGCACCAUGUCAUUCAGCAGCCAUACUCAACACUUGUGAUAUGAGAUAAAUUACAGUUUUCACUCCUGCACAUAUUCGCUAUCAGAAAAUUCUUAUCAAUCAUUUACACUAUUUAUGUUAUUUUGAGAAGAGAGAAAUAUUUAAAAAGGUUAGUUCUGAAUUCUAUCAAAGAAAUUUAUAUCAAAUUUAAAUUUUAAAUUUUAGGGGUAUUCAGGUUAUAUUAUUCUUCAUUAUAAAAAUGGGGUGCAUCUUAUACCAGUCAUGUAUCCAUAAAUCAAUGUUGAUGAGUGACCUCUUGAUUGUCUGAUUUUGAUAAUUAGUUUGAGACAUUAAGCUUUGCUCGAUUUAGUUAUUGGAUAUGUCUAUCAUAGGCCAAUACUUGUUGUGUAAGACACUUGAAUUUGUCUAAGAAUAUUGCCCAAUCUAAAUCCACUUGAUUGACAAAUUGUUACAUUUUCCAGGUUCCUUUCUUCUCACAAAUGGAUGAUCAGCUCUUAGAUGCCAUAUGCGAACGUCUCGUGUCAUCCUUAAGCACUCAAGAUGCAUAUAUUGUUCGGGAGGGUGAUCCAGUGAAUGAGAUGCUUUUCAUCAUUAGAGGCCAACGAGAGAGCUCAACGGCCAAUGGGGGUCAAUCAAGUUUCUUCAACUCCAUCACUCUCAGGCCUGGUGACUUCUGUGGGAAGGAGUUGUUGACUUGGGCCUUAAUGCCCACUUCAAGCCUGAAUCUACCAUCCUCAACUCGAACCAUGAAGAUGAUUACCAAAGUCGAAGCAUUUGCACUUCGAGCUGAAGACCUCAAGUUCGUGGGGAAUCAGUUUAAACGCUUCCAUAGCAAGAAACUUCAGCAUGCUUUCAGGUACUAUUCCCACCAGUCGAGGACAUGGGGAGCUUGCUUUAUACAAGUUGCAUGGAGAAGGCUUAAAAGGUGAAAGUUGGCAAAGGAGUUGGCUAGACAAGAAAGCCUCUACCACAUGCAAUUUUCAGACCAAGAAGGUUACUUUAGUGAAAUGGCAGAUGCGGAUUACCAAGCUAGCAGUGUUGAGAGCUCAUCAACGGAAAAUUCACAUGGGGGUCAUCAUAUUGGAGCCAUACUCUUAGCUUCAAGGUUUGAAAACCAAGGUCGAAGUGGUAACAUUUCCUGUCACUAGCUUGAAGAUGCCCAAACUGUUGAAACCAGAGGAGCCCGAUUUCUCCUCAGACCUCGAAAAUAGUUGACUUGUACUUGUUCAAGACCCAAAUUAGAUGCUAAAUGGAGAGAUAAUCCAAUAUUUGAUUAGCUAGAUUUCUUGUAAAAUUUAUGUAAACUCCAAUAUAUGCUAACUAUGAAUUUUUUCCCUUUUGGUCAUAUAGAUACACAAAUUUUGAACUUCAUACGUGUACCAUAAUCUAUGACAAAACUUAAUUUGAACACUGCAUUCACUGACUAGGCAUCAGUGAUCCAUUUUGUAAACCAAUGAUAUUCUUCCCUCUCAAUCUAUGUAUUACCUGAAAAUAGUGUUGACUGUGGAAUCUUUCAUUAGAAAACUCAACUCAAAUGCAAGUGCUGCUACAGAUGAACAAUUCAAGAUGAGAAUUCAUCGAAGUUUGUUGUGUCUCAAGUGCAUUAACCAUGGACUUCUGGAGACAGGUACCUGAACAGGUGGUAGAGCAUGUGAUUUAAUAGAACUUUGAGAGGAAACAGAAAAAUCAUAGUUUGCUCGCUCCCGACAAGUGGUAUAAGGCAAUCCUCAUGAAACCACCGACAGGCAUGUUGCCUACUAGCUCAUCCAUGAAUUCUGGGUCGUACCCAAAAGCCACUUUUUGUGGUGCCACAGUGAAAAAGUGACACUUGACUAAAACCGGUUAGAGUUGUCACAAUAUUCUCAUUUUUAUUCUUUCCUAUUCCAAUUGUAUACUCUUAUUUAGGUAUUUUUUGCUUUACUUUUAUCCAACCAUUUAGAUUUACACCCAUCAACAGCUCAUAUUAAAAGAUAUACCAAAAAGGCGUGAAGAGUUUUCCAUAGCAAAAGUGAAAGCUUGAAAAAAAAAGGGUCAAAACUAAUAAUAAUAAUAAUAAUAAUAAUAAUAAUAAUAAUAAUGAUAAUGAUAAUAGAUGAAGUGGAAUACUCUCUUUGCCUUUUAGGGUUUUAAGGAUUUUCAAGUCUGUGUCAAUGAAUUUAAAAGGGAUAAAGGGUUUAACAAUUGAAGCUCAUAUAAGCAUCAUUAAUGGUGUCAGUGGUACCGUAAAGCCUAGAAGGUAAUAUCACUUGAAGCUUGAUAUAUGUGAACUUUGUCCAAGUUUGCUUCACCCCACUUGGCUUAUCCAUGUUUGCAGGAUGACUCAAUGGUUGGGCCCCAGGGGAUGUGGGAAGACCUCCUUGUUAUUAACACUCUCUGGGAAUCUAGACAAGUCUGUUAAGGUUCUCUACAUUGGUCACAAAAAGAAUAUCAAAUUUAUAAGAGAAGAAAACCCACUGAACUUCUGAGUUUUCAUCCUUUGCUUACACCUGCUUUGAUAUGUACACUUGCAUUCCUACUUCUUGUAGUUCUGGACACCCCACCUGUGUGUAACAAUGAUGAAAGUUGUUUGUUUUCUCCUUGUGAAGAGACUAGGAUGGAGGUAAGCAGAAGGGAGAAGCAAACAACAAUUAUGCUAGUUCCAGAUAUAGAUACUUAUAUGAAGGUACCUUUAGCUUCUCCUAUCUGUUUUCCUUCAUUGUUUAUGGAGUACUCUAUACUUUUGCAGAAGUGAUGGAUUAUGAUGAGUUCAAAAUAUCAAGAAAUCAUGGGUAUUUUUGUAUGAAAUUCACUGGUUUUAUAAGGAAGAUGGCUCACCUAAUUGCUUUAAGAAAAAAUACCUCCAUACCAAUGUAGCUAAAACAUUAAUUAAACAUCUCUGAUCAUGUGUAUGAUGUUUGAUCAAACCAUGCAUAUGUAUUGAAAUAUAUAUUAAAAGAAAUGUCUUACUCCUUAAUAUUAUCAACCAUAUGCAUCAAAUCCUUAAUAUAAAAAUACCCCAAUAAAAGCAUAUUGGAGCAAUAUUAUUAAACAUCAAAUAUUAGUCAAACAAUACCAUACUAGUAAACCAACAAAAAUGCAUAAAAUAACGUCCGAAUGAUCAUCACCGGUAAUGUUACCCUCAAACCCUCGUCCCCGGCAUUGACAUCUUCUCAAUCCUCGCUAUCAUUUCCAUCAACUCCAUCGUCCUCCUCCCUACCAUCGUCAUCAUCUGGGUGGAGUUGGGAGAAGAGCUUGAAAAUUAAUAGUCUUUGAAGCAGUGACAGAAUGAUUUGACUAUUGACAUAAGGCUUUUAAUUGUUUUUUUUUUUUUUUCUCUUGGGUUUAAACAUAGCCUAGACAUCUUGAAUACCAGAGGCUUAUGUAGAAGACCUUUUUCCUUCUCUCUCGUUCACUCAAGAUCCAUACGUUGAAGUUAGGAGUUGCAUGCAAUUUACUACAUAUGUCCAAAAAAUUUUUUAUCAUGCAAUUUACUCAGGAUCCACAUGGACUCUAAAAGCUUCCUGAUUUUAAAAAAUGUUUUUAAUAUUUUUAAUACUUAAAAAUUUUUAUAAUUAAAAUAUUAAAAAUAUUAAAAACACUUUUUUAAAUUACUUCUAAAUAUACUAUAAAAGCAUGUUUGAAAGUGAUUUUAGUAACUAUUUCUAUCAUUUUUAAUACUUAAUAGAUAAAUUUUUUCAAGUGUUAAAAAUUAUGAAAAUAUUUUAAAAUCACUGUCAAACACACUCUAAGAAUCUUAUAAUUGUAAAAAAGAACUUAUCGUAUAAUGUUAAAGCUAGCCAAUAGAAUAAGACAAUCAAUAGUGUUGUUGUAAUUUUGUCACCUAUGGCAUGAUGCUUAAGGAGUAAAAGAGAAUGAUUUGUACCUAUUCAUUAUCCUAUGUACAUCAUUCAGGGGGUGUUUGGUACGUCGGAAUAAGGAAUAGAAAUAAUAUUUUGUUUCCUUUCCUAUUUUUUAGUGGAAUAGAAUGAAUUUGAUGAUUCCAUUUCUAGUAUUUGGAUGAACUUAGGAAUGCAAGAUUGGAAUGAUUAUUUGUUUCCAUUCCAAUGUUUGAUAACAAUAGGAAUGAAAAUGAAAAAGAAAUAAAUUUACAAUAACAUCCUUAUAUAUAAUUUAAAAUAUUUUUUUAUUUUUACUUUUAUUUUAAAAAAAUAAAAUUUGAGAGGUUUUUUGUUAUUAAAUAAUAAGACUAAAAAAUAUAUAUAUACUCAAUAAAUAAAAAAUUAACCAUAAAAAAUCGUAUAACCCUAAUGCACAAAUAUUCAAUUAUUAUUUUAAUGGUUUGUUUACCGUUAAAUAGCAAUGAUAUGAAGAGAUCUUCACUGUGGCCCAUGCUAAAGUUCCAAAAUGAGCCGGAAACGCAGUAGAUUUUCUGCGAGAUGGCAGAAUCCAUAGCUUUAACUAGGAAAGGAAGACGCUGAUAAUAAUAAACAAAGGGGGAAAAAAACCAAAAGUUUUGUUUUUGUUUGUUUUUUUCUUUUUAUUUUUUUCCUAACCAUUAAAAAUUUUCAAUAUUGUAAACACGUGAAAUCGAAAAAUCUUUUUCCAACCAUUUCAAUUUUUCUCUCUAGUUUCCAUUAAUACAAGAUAAAGAAACAUCAAAGAUUCCAAACAUAAAUUAAUAAAAAAUAAUAAUCGAUUUAUAGAGAAGAAGAAACACAUAUAAAGAAGUAGAAGAAGAAAGAGAAAAUAAGGUAAACUUGAUCGAAGAUGUAGAAGGGAGUUUUCAAAACCUAGUUGCAGCAAACAAUGACGAAUCCUAGAUCCAACAAUCAAAAUGAACAUCCAAAACCCUAUAAAUUAGAAAUUGAUUUUUUUUUUUUUUAAAUAUCAUGGAAGGUUUAAUUGAUUCAAUUUGGAAGAAUCACUUGUUGCAGAGAAUUGGAUGAUGAGUGGGUCUCUAGCUUUGCAAAGAAGAUAAGAAGUGGAUGAUGAAUGGAUCUCUACCUUUACAAAGAAGAUAAACAUCGGGUUUGAAAAACAAGGUAAGAGGGUAAAAUAGUAAUUUAGGUUAUUUUAUAUUAUCAAAUAGGUUUAAUGAAUCAGAAUACCACCUACUUUUAAUGAAUGCAAAUCCGACUCAUAAGUUGGAUUUGAUUUCUGCCGGAAUAAUUUUUUAUUUUAUUUCCGUAUUCUUAACAUUUAUCCAAACAUAGGAAUAAGGGAGAAAAGGAAUGAGAUGUCUAUUCCCACUCCCUAUUCCCGUGUACCAAACACCCCCUUAUAGUAAAAAGAAUCGAUACUAAGGUGGUAUUUAUUUUUUGACUGAAUAGAAAAAGUCAAAUAUUUUGACUUUUUCUAUUCAGUUAAAAGUAACUUGUUGACAUCAUCCAAUAUAGCUAAAAUGAACUUGUUAUCAAUAGGUAUAGUUUAGUUAUGUUGGAUGAUGUCAACAUGUUAUUUUUAGCUGAAUAGAAAAAGCCAAAUAUUUUGACUUUUUUUAUUCAGCCAAAAAACAAACACCACCUAAAUAGACAUGUAAUAAGUUACCUAUACAUUUAAUGGAAUAUAUAUCAAAGGAAAUGUUGCUUCUAUAUUAGGCAUUGUGUGCAUGCAACAAAAUAUAUGCCAAAAGCCUUCACAACACAUUCUAGGAGGGCAUGGGCAAAUAAUGUCCAUGAGUUGCCCGCUAUACCAUCCAAACAAAACAUCUAUAUACAUCGUUAAAACAUAAAAAAUGAGAAGGGUAUGGACCGACCCUCAAAGUUGUUAUUGCGAAAGCCUAAAUAGCACCUUCUAGGAGGGCACAAGUCCAUGAUAUAUUUAAAAAACAAUAAUUUAAUAUUGUUAAUUAUGUCAAGAUAUUACAUUUAAUUAUGGAAAUUAUUGAAAGAACAAUAACAAAAGUGGUUAAUAAUAUUCACAAACAACAAAUCUAAGAUACCCUUUUUAAAAAAAAAUAAAUAAAUCAAUUUGAUAUGAAAUAAAUUAUGGGUGAAUUUAUUUUAAAACUAAUUGAUUACUUAUAUGAAAUACAAACAAACAAACCCUUAAUUUAAAAUCAUUAUCAUAUUAAUUAGUGAAUUUAAAUAAGGACAAAAUAUAAAAUUAUAUAAAAUAAACCAUGCCAAAAACUAUUUUUACAAAGCAAUUGUUUACCUAUUUAAGUAAGAAAACAAACAAAAUUAAUUUAAUUUAAAAUAAUCUCGGAUUCAUUAGAUAAAUAAAUAAAGUAAAAAAAUAAAAAUAAAAAUAAUUGUGCUGAAGUUCUGGUUUUUUCACAUGAAUUACUAAAACAGCCCUGACUGGUAAGCCCAAAUGACUAAAACACCUUCGCUUCACACUCCGCAUUGGCCAACUACCAUUUCCCUUUUCCCACGUUUUUUCAGUUUCAAGCACCAACGGCCAUCAUAGGCCCAAGCCCCCCAACCUUCCUUUCGGUUUCCCGCGAAUUUCUCAAAACCACCACUCUCCAACGCUUUCUCUUUCUCUUUCUCUUCUAGGGUUUUUCCGUCUUUCCACCACUACCACCCUCCACCCUCCUUACCGCCAUGGACGAUGAAUAAUAACAUCCGCCCCUUCUCCUUUCGCCAGAAGUCCUGGUGGACCCAAAUCCUCGACCCCGGUGGCCGUCUUGUCACUCAAUGGAACCACAUUUUCCUCAUCUCCUGUUUGCUAGCUCUCUUUUUGGAUCCUCUCUAUUUCUAUCUUCCGGUGAUCGACGGCCCGGCCUGUUUUCGGAUCGACCUGGGUUUGGGGAUUGUCGUCACGUUUUUUCGGACGGUGGCUGAUAUGUUCUACCUGACCCAUAUGAUCAUGAAGUUUCGGAUGGCUUUUGUGGCUCCCAGCUCUCGGGUUUUUGGGAGGGGAGAGCUUGUGAUGGAUCCGCAGCAGAUUGCGCUGCGGUACUUGAAGUCUGACUUUAUAAUUGAUUUCGCUGCAACACUGCCUCUCCCCCAGGUGAGUCGUGUUUCUCUGACAUACCAAAGGGGAAUUUUUAUGAUUCAGUUCUUUGUUCUGUUUUCUGGAAAUUGGAACCAGAUUGGGGUUGUACUUUUUUUUUCAUUUCGAGCAGACCUCACGAUGAUAUGUCUUAAACCAUUGAAUGAAUGAAUAUUGAAGGAGACAAGUAACGAAUUCAUAUUGUGGUUCAGAGAACUCUAAUCUGUUAAUGCUAAAUGUAGACUCUGAUGUUUAUCAUCUCGAAAACGUCUCUUUUUUGGGGGUCUCUGCUACAGUUGUAGGCUUUCCAAAUUAUUUUGUGCAGUUUUUGGGUUUUUGGAGAAAUACAUUUUGUUAAACCCCUAAGACAUAAUCCAUCUCAACAUCCUAAUAUUAAUGAAGAUUUUGCUACUGAGAUGAUGCCUCUUUAUUCCUUCUUAUUUUUAGUCAUAUAGCAUGGCUGGUCUUAUGCUAUCUUAUAGUUCUCCCUCUUUGAUUUGAUAUGUAUAAUGGGAUUAAAUAACCAAAAACACUUUUCUGCUGUAAGCCCCUGGGCAACAUUUUCCUCAGAUACUCCUUGUAUCAAUGAUAAUGACAAUGACAAUUCAUGGUGCCUUCUGUUAAUCAGUCUUGACUAUCACCUUUAUCAGGGGAUUUUGUUUUCCUUGCACUUCUUUUUGUUAAACUUGAGGCUCAAGGACAUGGAAAAUUAAGUACUUAUGUCUCUUGGAUUAUAUUUGAUUAUACUUAAACUGAUCAUAGCAACCACUGUCUGAUGGUAGAUGACUGAGGCUGCCAAGCAUGAAUGUGCAAGUUUGAGUCCUGAGAGUGGUCAGUUGUGCAAAAGUGCUAGAUUGUAGGGGCAUAUCCAACUCACUUUCCCAAGACCCAGCUUUGGCAGGCCCAACACUGGGUAAUGACCUUUCUUAGUUUGAAGGAAGCUGAAAAAAAAAAUGGUGGAAUUACUGGAGCACAUGUUGACUAAUAGAAGUACAACAUGAAAAUUCAAUGCCAUGAAAAUACAUUAUAAUUCCUAGUUUUGAGUUUGUGUUAAGAAAAAUGAAUUUCAACAUUAUUUUCUUCUUGGGUUUUAUUCUUUUCUACAUUGAGCACUAAAGCAUAAUUUGGUUUUUUGAACUCGAAGGAUAUAUUGAUUUGACUUAUAUUUUGGUAAUUUUCUUUGAUUUUAAUUUAUGAACUUCCAUUUAUAUCUUGUGUCAUGCUUAAUUUGGCCAGUGAUUUGGUUCCUAACAAUUUGAAGAUGUGGGAUGUUAUCACAGCAAGUCAUUUUUAGAGUUGAUACCCUAACAUAGUAUAUCAUUGUCAUCCUCAUCAUUUUUGUUAAUAAUAUUGUUGUUGUUGUUGUUGUUGUUUUUGCAGACGGUCAUCUGGUACAUAAUUCCAGCAGUGAAAGACCCUAUAACUGAUCAUGCUAAUCAUAUUCUUUCAUUGAUUGUUCUCAUUCAAUAUAUUCCUCGAUUGUUUCUCAUUUUUCCUCUGUACCGGCGGAUUGUUAAAAUUACUGGGGUUGUGGCAAGAACUGCUUGGCUAGGGGCAGCAUACAAUCUUCUUCUCUAUAUGUUAGCAAGUCAUGUAAGGGACCAUGCUCCAUUUUCACCUACUAUCUGUUAUAUUGUUUAGUCACUCACUUUGUGGAAGGAGGGAACCUAAUGGCAACAGCAUGACCUAGUCGUUGUAAAAUUCUAGUCAAGUGCUAAUCUGUUAUUUUUGUAAAUUGUCAGUGCAGGUUUUAGGAGCUUCAUGGUAUUUGUUAUCCAUUGAGCGGCAGCACUCAUGCUGGAGCAAAGAAUGUCAGAAGGAGGCAAAUUCCAUGCAUUUCCCAACUUGUCAUUCUUCAUUUCUUGAUUGUAGCACUUUGGAGCAGCCUGACCGCCGAGUUUGGCUGAACUUCAGUCAUGUGCUCACCAAUUGUCGUCCUGAAAAUAGUAUUGGGUUUGAGUAUGGCAUGUAUUCUGAUGCUUUUAUUAAUGAAGUUGCUUCCUCAACUUUCCUUGAGAAAUACUUUUACUGCUUUUGGUGGGGUUUGAAGGGUCUAAGGUAUGGCUUAUUUGAGUUCAUAUGUUUUAUUCUAAUUGAAUCCAUACAGUUAUUUUUUGUACCCUUUUGUCCAUCUUGCAUCUUAAAGGAACUCAGAAGGGAAAAGAAUUCUCAUGCGGCAUUUAAAAAAGUGAAUUUAGUUUUAACUUAAAUAAAUCACAAAAGAAGUAUUGAUUUAUGAAUUACAUGCUUGACCCACAAGAGUCAGGCUAGAAACACUUGCGACAAUUACAUUAUAUCUGUAACUCUCACAAAUCAUUCUUAAAUCCUACACACAAACUAUUGAAGGGUUGUGAACUAUCAUGAGUCAUGCAGCUAGCAACCAUCACACAUUUUGAUCUCUUAAUGCAACAUUAAGUAGUAUUUUUUUUUUUGAUAGGUAACAUUAAGUGGUAUUUUCAACUUUUAUAAAAAUUCUGAGAACUAUAAAAAGUUCAAGCGUCAAUCAAUACAAUCAAAAUUAUAGUAUGUUUUAGUAUUUCUCAAAUUAUUUCCAAAAUCCUUGUUAAAUUCUGUGUUGUGACUGAUAGAUAAAAAUUUUUAGUUACAUCCUCUCCUGGUAAUCCCUUUGUUAUUUCUUUCCUUGAACAAUAAGGUCCUGAAUCUCAACUAUGUCACUAUGUCCUGUGAACAUGAAAUCAUACUAAAUGAAUGGUGCACUUUCUUUGUUUAAUUUUCUUAUAGAGAUUACAAACUCAUUCUUACAUUUAUGACAAUAAAAAAUUUAUUUUUUGUGUGAUCUGGCAUAUAUUUUGGGCGAUUUCUAUUCCUAAAACAUGAGCUAUCAACUCCCGUUUCUAUUCUCCCUCCCACUCCCUCUUCCAACCCUGUUUUUGUGUUUCUCAAAGUCAACAUUUUAUCUUACUCAAUCCUGGAGUUUUUGUGGCUUAAAUUUGUUAUUUUGCACUCUUAUAAAAACUAUCAAUCAAUAAUUUUUCUAAGUAAAUAUUUGAUUGGAAAUAUUGGUUAUUUUCCUUUUGGAUCCAUUACUAAUUUGCGUAUAAUAUUUUUCAAUGGAACAUUGUUGAGAUACCCUUUUCUUCUUAUGCUUAUAUGAUCUCCAAUCUUUUUGUGACAUGUAGCUCGUAUGGACAGAGUGUGGUGACAAGUACUUUCACUAGUGAAACAUUAUUUUGCAUUGUUAUUUGCAUUGGGGGUCUAGUUCUAUUCUCACAUCUCAUAGGCAACAUGCAGGUACUACUUGCGCUUUAUAUAUCUAUAUAUAUGUGUGUGUGUAAUAUGUAUGGAUAUGUAAGUUUUUUAUUUUUUCUAUUUCCAACAUAUUUCAAUGUACUCAAAAUGAUAAAAAUUGAUUUCAAAAGAAGAGGGAAUUUGAAAUUCCUUACCACUGUAGUAAAAUACUUAGAUUUUUGUGGUGCUUUUAUGCCCUUUUUUUUUUUAUUGUGGUAUCAACUUGAUUGAUGCUUGAUUAUUAUGUGCUCCUCCACAGAGAGUUCCCUGUUUGUAUGUGUAUACAUGCAUGACAAUUUUAUAUAAUAGUUACCCAUGAUUGGAACACCUCUAGUACUUCAAUUUAACAUUCAUUGAGUUUCAUAAAUUGUGAAAAAAUGUUUGUGAUAUUGUCUAGAAAAAUGUUGAUUCAUGACAUGAAAAGAAUUAGCCUUUAUUUUAAUGAAAAUCAAGCCUUGUAUAUUCUAGAGAUUUUAAGAUGAUCAAACACACCUUGGGAGGAUAUAUUGAUUGAUUUUAAGAAUUAAGACAACUCCUAUAAAGAUGAGAAGAAAAAAAAAAGAUACUCCUUUUCUCUGACACAAGAAGACAAUGGAUAUUAUUACCAUGAUCAAACUAGCAAGAAGGAUUUUAGUUCCAGAACAUGCAUUGUGAAAGUAACCUAAUAUGUGGUUGUCACCUGCCUUUAUAUUCAUGUACUAUCAUGCCAGACCUAGAAACAUUUUUUUCUGUUUCUCUCAAGGAUAUUACUGUUAAAUUGUCUUGUUCCAGAGUUGUCGAGAGUAGAGCUUUUUGCUCCAUGUCAACUUUUGAGGCCACCUAUAAAGGAGCAAGAAAGUUUUUUAUUAUUGUUUAUAUCAUGUUAUGUACUUAUGUUAGCUUCAGAAUGACCUUAAUGAAAGACUGUAUUUUACUUCACAGCAUUCCACUUACCAGAAUCAAAUCAAUUAGCUUAAUCUGCAGUAAAAUUUUAAUAUUAAUGUAAAUUGCUUAAAAUGAACCUUCUGAGCUUUGUAAGCUUGCAUUCUGCUAGCUGGAAAUCAGUAUAUUUCAAAAUAAAUUCUUGUUCGAUGUUCCAUGAUUUGUGUAUUACAUAUAGGUGCAACUCUAGAAUUUGAGCAUGGUUUACUGAGAUUGAGAAACAAUUUUCCAGUCUGUGACUCUGAUAGUGAUUUUUAUAUCAUUAUUAUUACUACUACUACUACUUCUCUUAUUAUUUAUAAUAAUAUCUAUUUUUAUUUGUGUGUAUUAUUUUGACAAAAUUUUGUUUGAAGACCUAUCUACAAAACAUGGGAAUUAGACUUGAAGAAUGGAGAAUAAGAAGAAGAGAUACAGAGGAGUGGAUGAGGCAUCGUCAACUGCCUCUAGAUUUGCAAGAGCGUGUUCGCCGUUUUGUUCAAUAUAAAUGGAUUGCCACAAGAGGAGUAGAUGAAGAAGCCAUUUUGCGUGCCUUACCUUUGGACAUCCGUCGUGAAAUUCAAAGGCAUCUUUGUUUGGCCCUUGUCCGCCGUGUAAGCCUUUUUUAUGGGAUUCCAUUCUGUGAUCAACAUCUUUCUAUGACUUGCAUGAAUUAGACCAAGGAAACAUGGUAAUUAGGCAUGCCCUUUAUUUAGUUCAACUAAAAGAUUGUCUAGAUUUCAAAAAAAUAUAAGCAAACUUUCCAAGUAUUAGACCAUAAAGGAUGAAAAACUUUCUAUGGGUUAUUUCUAGUAGCGAGUCUCACAGAAGCAUCUAAUAAACAAUCUCAAGGAAAAAGGAGUUCUACUCAACAACAUAUUUGUAUGCAAUUUUGUAUCGUACCAUGUGAAGAGUUUAACCAACUGUCCAGGAAUUUUUUCUUUUUCUUUUUUUUUUUCCAGAUGGGGGGUGGCGGAAUAAUUCCCUUGUCCAAAUUACAACUCAGACAAAGGAAUUACACCUCAAAUGUAGGAUAUGUGCUAAACAUGCCUAAUAUUGUCUACUUAGUAAUGGAGAUGGCUACCCAAUGGAAGAGAGAACAUUUUGAUGAUUAUGCCAUAUCUUGUAGCAGCCAUAACCAACACUUGUAAUAUGAGAGAAAUUAUAGUUUUGACCCAUACUCAUCUUCACUAUCAGAAAACUCUUAUCAAUCAUUUACACUAUUUAUGUUGUUCCAAGAUGAGAGAUAUUUUAAAAGGUUAGUUAUGGAUCCUAUCAAAGAAAUUUAUAUCAAAUUUAAAUUUUGAAUUUUAGGGGUAUUCAGGUUAUAUUAUUCUUGAUUGUAAAAAUAGGGUGCAUCAAGUGUCGUUUGUAAUGCUAUAUACCAGUCAUGUAUCUAUAAAUCAAUGUUGAUGAGUGACCUCUUAAUUGUCUGAUUCUGAAGAUAAUUGGUUUGAUACAUUACCCUUCCCUCGAUUUAGCUAUUGGAUAUUUCUAUCAUAGGCCAGUACUUGAUAUAUAAAACAGUUGAAAUGGUCUAAGAAUAUUGCCUAAUCUAAAUCCGCUUGAUUGACAAAUUGUUACAUUUUCCAGGUUCCUUUCUUCUCACAAAUGGAUGAUCAGCUCUUAGAUGCCAUAUGUGAACGUCUUGUGUCAUCCUUAAGCACUCAAGAUGCAUAUAUUGUUCGGGAAGGUGAUCCAGUGAAUGAGAUGUUUUUCAUCAUUAGGGGCCAACUAGAGAGCUCAACGACUAAUGGGGGUCGGUCAGGUUUCUUCAACUCCAUCACUCUCAGGCCUGGUGACUUCUGUGGGGAAGAGUUGUUGACUUGGGCCUUAAUGCCCACUUCAAGCCUAAACCUACCAUCCUCAACUCGAACCGUCAGGUCCACUACCAAAGUCGAAGCAUUUGCACUUCGAGCUGAAGACCUCAAGUUUGUGGCAAACCAGUUUAAACGCCUCCACAGCAAGAAACUUCAGCAUGCUUUCAGGUACUAUUCCCAUCAGUGGAGGACCUGGGGAGCUUGCUUUAUACAAGUUGCAUGGAGAAGGCUUAAAAGGAGAAAGCUGGCAAAGGAGUUGGCCAGACAAGAGAGCCUGUACUACAUGCAAAUUUCAGACCAAGAAGGUUACUUGAGUGAAAUGACAGAUGCAGAUUACCAAACUAGCAGUGCUGAGAUCUCAUCAAUGGAAAAUUCACAUGGGGGCCAGCAAAUUGGAGCCACAGUUUUAGCUUCAAGGUUUGCUGCAAACGCUAGAAAAGGAAUUCAACAGAAGGCCAAGUUCAAAGUGGUAACAUCUCCUGCCACUAGCUUGAAGAUGCCCAAACUGUUUAAGCCGGAGGAGCCUGAUUUCUCCUCAGACCAUGAAAAUAGUUGAGUUGUACUUGUACAAGACCCAAUUAGAUGCUUAAUGGAAAGAUAAUCCAAUGUUUGAUUAGCUAGAUUUCUUGUAAAAAUUUAUGUAAACUCUAAUAUAUGCUAACUAUGAAUUUUUUUUUCCCCUUUGGUCAUAUAGAUACACAAAUUUUUUUUUUUUGAACUGCAUUCAUUGAAUAGGCAUCAGUGAUCUAUCCUAUAAACUAGUGGUAUUCUUCCCUCUCGAUCUAUGAAUUACCUGAAAGUAGCGUUGAUUGUUGAAUCUUUCAUUAGAAAAUUUGACUCAAAUGCAAGUGCAGCUACAGAUGGACAAUUCAUGAUACAAAUUCAUCAUAGUUUGUUGGGUCUCAAGUGCAUUAACCACGGACUCAUGCAGACAGAUACCUGAACAAGUGGCGGAACAUGUGAUCUGACAGAACAGAACUCAAGUUGGAUACAGAAAAAUCACAGUUUUCUCGCCGUCGACAACUAGAACUAGACAAUCCUCGUGUAACCAUCGACAAGCAUGCGCUGCCUUGCUCAUCCCCACCCAAAAGCCACUUUUUGUGAUGCCAGUAUGAAAAAGUAGUUAGAGUUGUACAAUAUUCUCAUGUUUUUUCCUUUCCUAUUGUAUACACUCUUAUUUAGGUCUUUCUUGCUUUUACUUGUAUCCAACCAUUUAGAUUUAGACAGAUCAACUGCACAUAUUAAAAGAUGAUACCAAAAGGGUAUGAAGAGUUUUCCAUGGAAUGACAGAGGAAAUGUCUCAACCAUCUUGAUUUCAUUAGGAAACAUUGAACAUUUUAUUGCAGUUUUCUAGAAAUUGUUUUUCCUUUAUUUGGUUAGUAGCUUCAAUGCCGAGUUCUCUAGCUAGCCGUAUGCUUGUCGUAUGGUCCCCAUUUAGACUAUGUCUUUAUUGUGCUUGUCGUUUGGUCCCCAUCUAGACCAUGUCUUAUUUUAAUGACAACAAGUGAUAUGACUUCACUUUUCGGUUUCCCCCCCUUUUUUUGACCUUUUCCCCAUUUUGCAUUGCCUUGAGGAGUGGGUCGUCAACAAUAUUUCACCCAUUUACAUAUUUGAAAGCUUGGAAAAUUUAAAUUAAAAAAGUAACUUUCUAAUAAGAAAGUGAAAAUAAUAAUAAACGCAUAAGCUAGUCUUUUCAUGCGUUACCAAUAAUCCCAUUCUUAAUAUCUAUGUUUGAUUUUACUUUUUUACUUUUUAUUAUAUUUUUAUCUUUAUUCAAUUAUUUAUAUUUGAUAGUAUAUAACGAAUGAUUAAAUAUCAUAUGGUAGAUAAUUAUUGUCAAAUGAGAAUUUUUAUUUUGUUACAUGUAUUAUGUUUUUUUGAUAUGUCACAACAAAUAAAUGAUUAUUUUUCUUUUACCAAAUUCGACAUUUACAUGUACCUUUCCAUUUGGAUUAGCAAUUUUAGCAAGGAAAUGACCCCUCACCCUUAGGGGAUGGCAACAGGGUGGAUUCGAACCGGUCUUUCCAUCCAAACUCCAUUAUGUUUAUUCAAGAUAAUUUUCAUCUUUAUUCCAUUUAAAAAAUUAAAUAAGACUGGGCGGGUAUGAAAACACCCCAUUUAACUUUUUUUUCUAAAAUUUUUAAUUUAAAAAAAAUACUUUAAAAUUUUUUAAUUACAUUAAAAUAAAUAUAUUUUUAUAAAUAAUUAAAUUAUUAUAUAUAUAUUAAAAAUAAUAAAAUAAAAUUUAAUUAUAUAUAUAUAUUGGGGAUGAGACAAGACAAUACUUGAACCCAUCCCAAGUUUAAAAAAAAAUUUCAAACCUGUUUUGUUAAAAUUAAAACUCGUCUCAUUAAAGGAUGAAAUGAGACGGGUACUUGAAAACACCUGUACACCUGUUUUAUUGCCAUCUCUACCCACCCAACCAUUUGCACAUAUCUUGUGACAGCAAUCAUGAGUAUUUUCAUGGGUUGGUCCAUUUUUGUAUUUUUGGGAGUCGUUGACAUCAAUCCUGUUUCACUAGCCAAAAAAAAGAGUGAAAUACACCUCACUCUAAAGCCAAAAAUGGAAAAGUUCACACUAAAAAGGCCAAAUUCCCCUCUUAGGCCCCGACCCUUGUGAACAGCCAUAUGUUCCCUUAACUUGAACGCAAGAGAAUCAAAGAGAAAAGUGUCACAACAUUCAAUUUCAAAUGGACAUCCUAACUUCCUAUAUGAAUGAGUAAUUAUAAAGAUAUUUAAUUAAAAUUCAAGGAGUCACACCAUAUUUUAUAUUUUGAAAUAUUUAUCUGUUAUUACAACAUUUAGGUGGCAACAUGGAUGAUGGUGGUACCCUUCUAGAUGAGGCAAACUUUUAACUUUUAGUCAAGGCCAUGACGUGGGGUGUGAGUUAUGAUUUUUGACCAUGACAACAUAAGAAAAAAAAUAUAUAUAUGGGUUGGGUGAAGGAUCUUUAUUUUGAAUUUUUUUUGGUGAGCCUAGUCAAUACAUCUAAAAAAAUUGGCUAAGUUAUAUUUGAGCAAGAUAAAAAAAAAUACUGAAGUCUAAGGCACAUGCCUAUGAAAUGUUGAAAUAUUGCAUUCUUCAAAUGUAAAAGGAGAAAACAUUUUUUUUUUCUUUUUGCCCUUUCAAAGUCUUUAGUAAAGGUUUUAUACAUUCAACUAUGGUUGUUUAAAUCUCACUUUCAAAUGUUUUAUUUAAAUAUAAAAAUUUAAAAAUUUUAGGCUAUAUUUGGUUCCAAAAAAAUAUGAAUGAAAAUGUAAAGGAAAGAAAAUAUUGAUAAAAAGCCGAAAGAAAAAUAAAAAAUAAAUUUAAAGUCAAUAAAUUAUUUUAUAUACUAUUUCAAACUCAUUUCACUUAUUUUUUUCUUUUAUAUAAAUAUUAAAUAAUUUAAAUAUACAUAUAUUUAUUUAUUUUUUUAUAACUAAUUUUAAUUAUAUUUAAUUUUCUUUCAUAUUUUUUUAUAUCGAAUCCAAACAUGAAAAAAUCAUUUUUCUUAACAUUUUUUUCCUUUCCUUAAUACUUUUUGGAAACCAAACAUAACCUUAGUUUUUACUUAUAAUUUAAUAAAUAACACUUUUAUAUUGAUUUAUAUUAAAAUUUGAGAGAAAUUCAGACCAUUUUGAAUUUAGAUAAAAAAAAAUUAUCAAUUUUAUAUUUUAUUCAAGGAAAAUAUUGGUCAUAUAAUAUAUAUUUACUGUUAUUUUUAUUACCUAGCUUUUUUACUUGUAGGCUUUUAAAUUUAGAAAUUGUGAACUAAUUUUUAUUAUAUCCAAUUUUUGCUUGUUAGGGAAAAAUGAGAAUCGACAACAUGACAAAAAAAGAACACAUAGAUUUACAUGGAAAACUCUAGACGGGAAAAUGAAAAGAAAAUCUACUAUGUAAAAAAUUGGUACAAAAUGAGAGGAUAUUAACUGGCUACUGCAUAACAUGAAAUUUUAUACACCAAGAAAUCCUAUUGGCCCAAUGUAGACCCCCGGAGGCAGACAGUUUUUUUUAGUUAUUAUUAUUAUUAUUUAUUUAUUUUUAUUUUUCCUACCAUUUUCUUCCCGAGCCGCUCGACAUGAUGGGAGAGCUAGUUUUUGGGGCAGAGAGGGGACUCAAGUGGGCGGUUUUUUGGGCUGCAGAUGGGACGGGGGUACAGAGAUGGCUUGCUGAGGUAGACUGAGAACGGAGGAAAGAGAGGAAAGAGAGAAAAGAGGAAAAAGAGGAAGAGAAAGGCAGCGAUCUCCUGGCGGAUUUCAACUGGAGAGGAGUCUUUCAAGAAAACUGUAAGAGAAGAGCAAGGGAGGAAUCACUCAGGUUUGAUUAUUUCGCACCUUAGGUUCUCCAUUUUUAACUCAUUUCGUUCUAUUUUCAGCCAUACCUUAACUCUUUAUGAUUUUUUGGAGGCUUGUUCGGAUUAUUUAAUGUGUUAAAUCUGCUCCUCAUUCCAUGUAUUGCUUGGUCCCUGUUUUCCCCAUGUGAGCUGUAUGAUGACCAUGCUAUAUAUGAGCUGUGUAAUGGCUAUACCAUUUGCUUGUUCGUCAAGAUCGCUCGAAUCCUCCCACCAUUCUAUUUGAUAAGCCUUUUUUUUACCUUGGUGAAGUGGAGUCAGAUUUGAUGAUAUUAUAUUUUUAUGCACAUACUCUGCUUUUCUUCAUUUCCCCCUGUUUCUCGCCACCAUCCUUCUUCGCAGUUUCGCUUCCCGUGGCUCGCCGAUAAUCUAAUGCCUGAACAUAGUUCAUAAGAUGGAUCCGAGAGGGCGCGGAACGUGAACUGGUUUCCAGUGGCUGUCGCGGCUGCCGAGGAUGCGGACGACGGAGGAGUGUUGUCAUUUCCGAACAGCACAGUCUCAUUUUUUAGGUAGUUCUUGAAAUGUUAAUGUAAUAAUUCCCGGUCUCAUCUCUCCUCCUCCUAAAACUCUCCUUUAUUUUCCUCCAUCUGGAGGUCCUGAAAGUUUCUGCAUUAUCAAUGGAGUGCCCCAGGGGGCAUUAUUCAGUGAGAGUAUUCUUUGGACUGGUUAAUGAACCUAGUUUUGACCGGGAACCUCUAUUUGAUGUUUCUAUAGAGGGAACUCAAAUUUAUUCUUUGAGUUCAGGUUGGAGCAACAGUGAUAACGGGCAAAUAUUUGCUCAAGCCCUUUUGUUUUGAUGGCAUCUUUAAAGAAAUUGGUGAUUAAAAGUCAAAGAUAUGAGUUUUUUUAUAUCAUUUUUUAUUCUUAAUCAGUGGCAUGGUUCCAGCAGGCUUCAAAAUGGUUUUUUUAUAUUAUUUUUUCUCUUUUCUCCCACGUGUCAUCUUCUUAAUUCCACUUUACAUGUUAAAAUUUUCAUUUUUUUUUUAAAUUCCUGUUAUCAAAUAAUUCUUUUAAAAUCCCAACGUUUUAAAUUCAUUCAUUUAUUUUAUCCAUUUUAUUCAUUUAUUUUUUAUUUGUCUAUUUUUAUUUAUUUAAAAAUCUCAAUUAUUAAAAUUCAAUUUUUCAAAAAUCCGACUUCCAAAUCUAAUUUUUAAUCUAAAAAAUUCCAGUAUUCACGUUCACUCGUUUAAAUAUUAUUUCGUUAUUAUUAUCAUUAUUUCAUUUAUUUGUUUGUUUAUUUCCUUUAAAAAUUCCAAUCAUUAAAGUUUAAUUUUUCAAAAUUCUAAUUUCUUUCAAAUUUAAUUUCUAAAAAUCCGAAUUCCAAACAAACUCUAAAACUCCAAAUUUCUAGUGAUUUUCGAGAUUCCAAUUUUUCAAUUAAAUUUCAAAAAUCUAAUUUUCUCCCGAAUAGUUUUAAUUCCGCUCUGGCUUUCAAAUAAUCUUAUGCUCCUCUUGACUUUAAUAAGCAGGAACAAAUUUUCUGUAAUUCCGAAUAAUGGAAUUUAUGGGAUUAAUUCAUGCAAUAUAAAUCGGGCUUUGGUGGGGGCCCAACAUAUGUGAUUUCCUUAUGAUUGAUUGAUUGUUUGUUUGAUUUAAUUGUCAUGCAUGAUCGAUUUUAUUUUGCUCUAUGACAUGCUCGAAAUUAUUCCUUAAUUGUGCACUAACCUCACUUCUUGAUAGCGCUUUAUGGAUCACUGCCCAGGUACGCAUCCAUAUCCGCUCGGGUCAUUUUCUAUAUGCAUGUUUAGAUUCUCACAUGUGCAUGAUCACUCUGAGUAUUCAUUGAUUCCCUCAUCAAUUGUCAUGACUGCUUCAUUUUAUUAGUAGAGAUCCGACUUUAGGGACUUAGAAGGGUGCUACGGUUUUUACCGUACCUUCCCGAUAAGUAACCUGACCCCCGAACCCGAUCCGGUUUUUCACAGACCACAUUUUCUAAAGUAAGGAGUCACACAUAGGGUUUUUCUUUCUUAUUUUGUUUACCCUUUUAAAAAAUAAAACAAAAAUAAGUGGCGACUCCAAGUCAUUUUUUUAAUCGAUUAAAUCAUUUUUCAAAAUAAAAAUUGAGCUCGCCAUCGAGUGGGAAACGCAUUGAGCCUAAAUGCGGGGUCCACAAAAUGGCGACUCCGCUGGGGAGUUUUUUUUAGAGGGUCAAGCUUGAACUUAGAGUGAAGCAAACGUGGCAUUUGAUUGGACGAUCAGUGGAUGCUCAUCUCUUGAUUGUACAUUGGGGAUUUCUGAUGCAUGCUUAGAGGUUGUAUUCAUUUGAGUUUUUGAUAUGCUGGAUUAUUGAUGAUUGAUCUUAUUGCAUUGCUUAGCGUAUUGAUUCUGAUUUUGGCAUGAUUGUUCUGAUAACUUCACAUGCAUACACUCACCAUUGUAUAUCACUCAACUUGACAUGUUGAUUCUUUGACUUGUAUACUAUCUUGAUCGUCUUUGAGCAGGAUGUUUGUAUCACUAUUUGUCUUGAUUGUCGUAUUCUCGCUUAUCUUGUGUGUACAUGAGUGAUAUAUCCUGCUUUGCCUGACUGUAUGAUGCAUGACUGCCCUCCCUCUGCAUGAUUGCAUGUCAUCUGUCUAUGUGGGUCUCACUUCUAUCCCCCUAUCUCCAACUCUCUUGGUUUCGGUCAUUCCUUUCAUCUUGGUUCUCACUAUUGCAAGUGUGAGACCUUCUGUGUGCUUGCUCUCUGACCGAGCCAGAGAUUAGGAGUAGGGUCUGGCGACGGGCUAUAUCGAUGCACGGGAGUAUUCUGGAGGAGAGCGACACUUUGAUGUCGAUUGGAGUCCGAUCAUUGAAGACCUGUAUAGCCCCGAGCUAGGUUUCAUGGAUAGUCGUGCGACCAGUGUGUUUCCUCUUCUGCUCUAGAUUCUUAGGGUUUUCGGAUGCACCCACACCAUUCACUGUGCACUUUAGUUGACCAUUGAGCGUUGAGAGUUUGAGAGGUUUCACCAUAGCAAACCCCCUGGGAUGUCGAGGUAGUGCAUGUGUGGAGGUGAUGCCCACCUUGCAUGGAAGCGCCCCGUCUCUUCGAAGGCGUGCAGAGGGUUGCGUACCACCGGAGGGUACGAUCGCUUCUAUUAGGGAUCUUUUAAAGUCCACCUAUCUCCUUUUAGAGCCACCUUGACCUUGUAGGUUGAGCCGUAGAUCCUCCGAUUAGGACUCCCUCCCUACACGUGGGUGCGUCUGUGGGCCUUCAGAGCCGGUUCAGUAGUAACAGGUUUGGUUACCUUCGCAGUAGUCUCUUAUAUAUCUGCUCAGGAUUGGAUAUCAGUUUGUUCGCUUCCAGGCUACCUUUUGACACAUUUGAUAGACAUUCUUUGUGAAGUUUCCUUUACCCCGCACCUUAUCUAGUAUUUCCACUAUUGUAGGAGUACCGAUACGUUCAGUCUGGGUUCGACUUCUUGGAUCAGAGUUGGGGGUAGAUUGAUCAGGGUAUCAGACCAGUUAGACCAGAGAUUAGAUCAGAGGGAUAUGGAUUCACAGAUAGUUACUGUCGAUCAAUUCGCUGAGGCCAUCGCUUCGAUUCAGGAGGCUAUAGCUAGCCUUGGCCGGAGGAUAGAUGGGCAGUAGGCCCAGCAGGUCCCGCCCCCGAAUGGUGCCCAGUAUGACCAUACAAUGCCACCACCCCCUCCACCCAGUCAGUCAGCACCACAGGCCAUGCCGUUCACCCUACAUAGCCAGACCGAGGUUGCUCCGCCUCCCGUCGCCGUGCCUACCCCGACCUCAGAGGACCCACAUGCUCGCAUGGAUAGGCUUGAGCAGGGGUUGAGGCAGUUGAGGACUUCCGACAGAGCCAUUACUUGGGAGGGUUUUGAUGGAGUGUCGGUAGCCAGCUUGCCGGCUAAGUUCAGGAUGCCUGACAUUGAGAGGUAUACUGGCAUUGGUUGUCCACGCCUCCAUCUCCAAUUAUACAGCACCGUGAUGAGGGCUCAUGGACUGGACGAGCCUCAGAUGAUUACUCUUUUCCCACUAUCUUUGAGUGGGGCGGCCCAGCGUUGGUUUGCAUCUCUGGAGGCCUCGAGGCGCCGCACAUGGGACGACUUGGCCCAAGAGUUCCUACGACAGUUUUCGUUUAACGCUGUCGUAGAUGUAUCGAGGAGGGAGCUUGAGGCUUUGAGACAGAGGGCGGAGGAGUCUGUUUCUUCUUUCAUUUCCCGCUGGCGCAGGAAGAUAGCUGAGAUUAUCGAUAGACCAUCAGAGAGGGACCAGAUUCAGAUGGUUUUGAGGAGCCUGCAGCCGCGGAUCGCCAGACAUGUGGUAGGGGCCCCGUUCACAGAUUUUGGGUCUCUAGUUAUGGCUCUGUAUGAUGUCGAGGACGGCAUCUCGAGAGGUUUAUGGACAGAUUCUUCCCUUAGUGAUGUUAAGGGGAAGAAACCAUUCGUAGGACAGAGGUCGACAGAUGUUAGUGCUAUCAGUUCGUCCAGUCAAAGGCCUCCUAGGCGCCAUCAGCCGAUCCCACAGUUUCCCGAGCCUCAUUCGUCUUAUGCAUCUCAUCAGUACAGGCCACGGGCACCUCGACCAGCUUAUGAUCAGACAUAUACUCCGCAGACUUUGGCUUUGCCUUAUUAUGCCUCCCAGGGCAUUGAGAGACCCCCGGUUUCCUACACGGCUACAGGACAGCCAUGCUAUGCUGCUCAGUUCACUGCGAGACCCGCAACGCCUCAUCCCCGAACCAGAGCUCAGCAGACUUCUGCUCCUUUUGCUUUGAGGACGCAGAUGCAGUUCUCACAGAUAGGCAUGCCGUUGAGCCAGGCUCUUCGGAAGCUUACAGAGGCUGGGUUAUUGACUACUCUCACCCUUCGGCCACCGCCUCAGCCGAUUCCACCUCAGUUCAGGAUGGAUCUACACUGUGCAUACCAUCAGGGGCCUGGACAUGAGACCGAUCGAUGCACCGCUUUGAGGCAUGCCGUUCAGGAUUUGAUCGACCAGGGUUUGGUACACUUGGGUCAGCCGAGUGCGACCACGAACCCGUUGCCUGCUCACACCACACAUGCAAUCCCUCCACCAGCCGAUGGCAUUCAUUUCUUAGAGUUUGAUGAGAUCGAUGACCACAUCCACAUGCUGAGUGAUGAUGAUCCAGACCCAGAGCCCAUCAUGCCAGAUGUGAUUUAUGAGAUGAGUGGGGUGACUCUGGGUCCUCAGACGCCUGCUCCAUUCCGAUUAGUUCCCGAGGCGGCGUCAGUGCAGACUGCCACCGUUGAGCCAUUGAUUUUGCCGUGCUAUAGCGUUCAGACGCCGUUCGUCUUAGUCCCAGAUGUUGAGGAGUUUCAGGCUCCACACAGUGAUGAUCCUCAGACUUCGAACGUUCAGUAUAUCCUCCGGGGAGGGAGAGUAUUGAGACAGCCAUCUCCAGCCGCUGCUGCUAGACCCUUAGGGGGUACAUCAUCCCAGGAGGAGGUCAGAGUAGAGGAUGACGAGAUUUUGAGGCAGCUGCAGAGCACUCAGGCUCGUAUUUCUAUCUGGAGCAUUUUAGCGUCCUCCAGUACUCAUCGAGAUGCACUGACUCGAGCUUUGAGCCAGAUCAGAGUUGAUACCACGACCACUCCCGAGUGACUCAUUCAUAUGAUGACGGUCGGCAGAGCCACUUGUAUCGUCUUUUCCGAUGAUGACUUGCCGCCAGAGGGUUCAGACCACACGCGUCCGCUCUAUAUAUCUGUUGGCUUUUCAGGUCGUCGAGUUCCAUCUGUCUUUCUGGACAAUGGCUCGGCCCUGAACGUAUGUCCUCUGGCCACCGCCAUCGCUCUUGGAUAUGCACCAUCCGAUUUCGGCCCAUCCACUCAGACCGUCCGAGCUUAUGACAGCACCCGUAGAGAGGUCAUGGGUACACUGGAGAUUGAGCUCUUGAUAGGUCCGACCACAUUCAUCACUAUCUUUCAGGUUUUGAGGAUUCCUACACCCUUUAACCUGCUUUUGGGCCGACCGUGGAUUCACCGAGCUGGAGCCAUUCCUUCUUCACUUCAUCAGAAAGUGAAGUUCAUCCAUGAGGGCCAGGUAGUCGCCAUACAGUCGGCAGGGGACAUGUUCAUUUCCGCUGAGCCCGUGCUCCAGAUCAGCCAUAGCGACGACGACUUACUGCUGACCGGGUUCACUUUUGAUGAGGUGCAGACCGUGGAUAUAGAGGAUUUCUGCCGGGAUUUUAUGGCCAUGUCCUUUGACCAGCAUGGGAGCACAGUGGUGCUCGAUAUUAUGCGGAACAUGUCCUAUCUACCCGGCAUGGGGUUGGGUCGACGUCAGCAUGGACCGAGCGAGUUCAUCACCUUUCCGGACCGCGAUGUACCAUUCGGGCUCGGAUUCAUUCCCACUGAGGCCGACUAUCGUCAUAUGGCGCGGCUGCGCAGGGAGAGGGUGAGGGCUUGCUUGACUCAUACGCCCUUUUAUUAUCCUGUCCGCCCAUACACCAUGAGCCUAGCCGAUUACUUUGUGAGGCCAUCAGAGCCACAUGCACCAUCUGAUGGGAUCAUCGGAGGACUCAGCACCACUCAGGAGGCCGAGCUUCAGCGCCUCGUCCAGCAGUUACAGUUGAGUGAAGGAGCCCCUGGCCCUUCGGCUUCUAUGUUGAUUGCUCCUCCCUCCCCAGAUCGCACGAGCCUUAUGACGCUUUGCUUCCCGGAUGAGAUCGAUGAUCACGAGACUUUUGCCAAGAUUGGAGACGUUGUGGAUGGAGCCGUGCCGCGUGACGAGUACGUUGAUGAGAUGCUAGCGAUGAGCUUGAGCCAGACCGAGGAGAUAGCCCCGCCAGAGCUCGCUUCGCCAUUUGAUCUCUUCGGGGUGUUCGUCCUCGAGAUCGCCGAGGAGAUCCAGGUUGCCCCCACUCCAGAGGUCGUCGAGGAUGUUAUAGUUGCUGUUGAUUUGUUUGAUGGCCCUGUUGGCCUAGUUGAGGGAGCGUCCGACCUUGUGGACCCACCUCUCAUCUUUGAUGUUUUAUCGGGAUUUGUCUCCCGUCAUGACUAUGUUUCUGACUUUUCAUCUAUGGAUUUGAGCACCUUUGAGUAUUUGCCUGUCUCUCAUGUUAUUGAUUUAUCUGCACCAUCUUCACCCACAUCACAGAUUUUUGACAUUGAUGAUGAGAUUGCGCAGCACGACUCAGACGAUGACUCAUCUUCUGCUUCUGAUUCAGACCCCGUUGAUCAGAGAGUUUCACCUGCAGGGGACACCGAGAUUGUUGACUUUGGCACGUCAGAUCAGCCUAGGGAGUUGAGGAUCGGAUCGGAUUUGUCUACAGAUGUGAGAGAUAGCCUCAUCCAGCUACUCAGAUCCUACUUGGACGUUUUCGCAUGGUCCUAUGAGAACAUGCCAGGCCUUGAUCCAUCUAUCGUCCAGCAUCGUUUGCCACUUUUGCCCCAGACCAGACCGGUUAAACAGAAGUUGAGACGAUUGCACCCUCGUUGGAGUUUGCAGGUGAAAGAGGAGAUCCAGAAGCAGCUCAGUGUAGGAUUCUUAUCAGUGGUUGAGUACCCGGAGUGGCUGGCCAAUGUCGUCCCUGUUCCCAAGAAGGACGGCAAGGUGAGAGCCUGUGUUGAUUUCCGAGAUCUCAACAAGGCCAAUCCUAAGGAUGAUUUUCCUCUUCCACACAUCGACAUGCUAGUUGACAGUACGGCGGGUCAUUCGAUGUUGUCCUUUAUGGACGGAUUUUCCGGGUACAGUCAAAUCUUGAUGGCUCCAGAGGACAUGGAGAAGACGUUCUUCAUUACCGAGUGGGGUACUUAUUGCUAUAGAGUCAUGCCAUUCGGAUUGAAGAACACAGGAGCCACCUAUCAGAGAGCAGCGACCACCCUCUUCCAUGACAUGAUGCAUCGGGAUGUCGAGGUUUAUGUAGACGACAUGAUAGUGAAAUCCCGAGGUAGAUCAGAUCACUUGGCAGCUCUUGAGAGAUUCUUUGAGAGGAUCCGAUAGUUCAGGUUGAGACUGAAUCCCAAGAAGUGCACUUUCGGAGUGACUUCUGGGAAACUCUUGGGAUAUAUGGUCAGUGAGCGAGGCAUAGAGGUAGAUCCGGACAAGAUUAGAGCCAUUCUUGACAUGUCUGCGCCGAGGACAGAGAGAGAGGUCAGAGGCUUCCUGGGCAGACUUCAGUAUAUCAGUAGAUUCAUAGCCAGAUUGACAGACAUCUGCGAACCCAUAUUUCGACUCUUGAGGAAGAGUCAACCUACUGUUUGGGAUGACCAGUGCCAGCGUGCCUUCGAGAGGAUCAGAGAGUACUUGUUGUCACCUCCUAUUUUGGCGCCUCCUACACCAGGCCGUCCUUUGCUCUUAUACUUGUCCGUAUCAGACGUGGCCUUGGGUUGCAUGUUAGCUCAGCUCGAUGAUUCGGGCAAGGAUCGAGCCAUUUACUAUUUGAGUAAGAGGAUGUUAGACUACGAGACGAGGUAUGUCAUGAUUGAGCGUUAUUGUUUGGCAUUGGUUUGGGCCACUCGGCGGUUGAGACAUUACAUGACCGAGUAUUCCGUGCAUUUGAUAUCCCGUCUAGAUCCUCUGAGAUAUUUGUUUGAUAGACCCGCUCUGGUUGGUCGCCUCAUGAGAUGGUUGGUACUUCUAACUGAGUUUGACAUCCAUUAUGUCACUCAGAAGUCCAUCAGAGGGAGCAUUGUAGCAGAUCAUCUAGCCUCAUUACCAGUUUCUGAUGCCAGAGCUAUUGACGAUGAUUUUCCAGACAAGGAUGUCGCUGUUGUGACUAGUCUGUCGGGGUGGCGCAUGUACUUCGAUGGUGCGGCCAACCAUUCUGGAUAUGGGAUAGGCGUCUUGUUGAUAUCCCCUCACGGUGAUCACAUUCCCAGAUCAGUUCGUUUGGCAUUCUCGGAUCGACAUCCUGCCACGAACAACAUUGUUGAGUAUGAGGCUUGUAUCUUGGGAUUAGAGACGGCCCUCGAGCUCGGGAUUAGACAGAUGGAGGUGUUUGGUGACUCCAAUCUGGUAUUGAGACAGAUUCAGGGCGAGUGGAAGACUAGAGAUGUGAAGCUUAAGCCUUAUCAUGCAUAUUUGGAGCUACUGGUUGGGAGAUUUGAUGAUUUGAGAUAUACCCAUCUGCCUAGAGCGCAGAACCAAUUUGCUGAUGCUUUAGCUACUCUAGCUUCCAUGAUCGAUAUUCCCGUUGAUGCCACUGUUCGACCUCUGUUGAUCGAGUCGAGAUCUGCUCCUGCUUACUGUUGCCUGAUCGAUGAUGUAGAGCUAGAUGAUGGUUUGCCAUGGUAUCACGACAUAUAUCACUUUUUGAGACUCGACGUAUAUCCUGAGGCCGCCACGGCCAAGGAUAAGAGAGCAUUGAGACAGUUGGCCACUCGAUUCGUGAUUUGCGGUGAGACAUUGUACAUGCGAUCGCCUGACGGGAUGCUAUUAUUGUGUUUGGACCGCGCCUCUGCCGAUCGGGUGAUGAGAGAGGUUCAUGCGGGAGUCUGCGGACCACAUAUGAGAGGACAUAUGUUGGCUCGUAAGAUCAUGAGGACAGGAUACUUCUGGUUGACCAUGGAGACAGAUUGCUGCCAGUUUGUUCAGAGGUGUCCCGAGUGUCAGAUACACGGAGAUCUCAUUCACGUGCCGCCCUCCGAGCUGCACGCACUAACUUCACCAUGGCCAUUUUCCGUCUGGGGUAUUGAUAUCAUCGGGAAGAUUUCACCGAAAUCUUCUAGUGGUCAUGAGUUUAUCCUGGUCGCCAUCGAUUACUUCACCAAGUGGGUGGAGGCCGCCUCAUAUGCGAGAUUGACAUCAGCUGGAGUUGCUAGUUUUAUCAGAUCACACAUUAUCUGUCGCUAUGGAGUCCCCCAUGAGUUGAUUUCGGAUAGAGGGGUACAUUUCAGAGCAGAGGUUGACACCUUAGUACAGAGAUACAGCAUCCGGCAUCAUAGAUCGUCUGCGUACAGGCCGCAGACGAAUGGGGCAGUAGAGGCCGCGAAUAAGAAUAUCAAUAGGAUAUUACGGAGGAUGGUCGAGACUUCUCGGGAUUGGUCAGAGAAGCUCCCAUUUGCAUUGUGGGCUUAUCGGACUUAUUUUCUCACCUCUACAGGCGCCACACGCUACUCCUUGGUAUAUGGCAUGGAGGCGAUGCUACCCGUUGAGAUUGAGAUGGGUUCGUUGAGAGUAGCACUAGAGCAGCAGAUUCCUGAGGCCGAUUGGGCUCAGGCUCGAUUUGAUCAGCUCAAUCUCCUAGAUGAGAGGAGAUUGAGAGCAGCAGACCAUGUUCGUGCGUAUCAGAGGAAGAUGGCCUGCGCUUUCAAAAAGCGGGUCAAGCCCAGACCAUUACGGAUAGGUGACUUGGUUCUGAAAGUCAUCAGGGGAUUGAUCAGAGAUCCUAGAGGGAAGUUCAAACCCAACUGGAGCGGACCUUAUUUCAUCAGGGAGUUGACCCCAGAGGGCGCUGCAUGGUUGAUGGAUUUAGAUGGAAACCGAUUCUUAGAGCCAACCAAUGUGGAUCAGCUAAAGAGGUACUAUGUCUGAGACCAUGGUCGUAGGAUGGGUGGCCGUCAUUUCGGUUAGCCAUUACCUUGUAAUUCCUUUGUGAUACAUAGUCCGUUGCUAGCCCAUUGAGCCUCGCAUGCGCAUUAUUGCCUUUCUUUCUUAUCGCCUUGCUCACAUUUUCACACCGGGAUAGGGGCCCUUUAAUGUAUGCAUGCAUUGUUUGGUAGUUUCAUGAGCCUUGGACCUAGGGGCAUGUUUUUCUCAUCAUCUUUUCCUAUCACUGCACCUCUGCAUUUUCAUCUCAUCUUAUUGGUUGUGUUAUUCAUCUCUUCUUCUUUAUCCUAUCUACUAUUUGUUUGUCUCAUAUUCUCUCCACCCUGAGUGGUGAGCCUCCUCAAUUCAUCACAUGGAGGAUAGUCACAUCAUUUCCACCAUCUAUCUCACGGACAUUGGUUUAGAGAUCCUUAGUUUGAGAAGGUCAUCUCGUUAGAGAGAGUUUUGGGUUGCCUUAUCACUUGGGGGUGUGUUCAUUUGUUAUCGAUAUCAUCUUUGGGGUUCAUUUGUUCACGUUCAGGGUACGCAUAUUUGUAUAUAUGUAAAAAAAAAAAAAAAAAAUCAUUAUUAUUAUUAUUAGCACA
rnacentral:lncRNA from 1 species